GCCCGCUCUUCCCGGUGAACGUGGUCAGGUAGUCCAUGCUGCCGCCGGGCCAGACGCGGAACGUGGACCCAGGAGGUCAACAGUUUUUGGGGUGGCGGCCACCACAAGCGCGCCCACCCGGCAGUGCGACCCGACCUGGGGACUGCGGGGGGAAGACGUGGACACCCAGCCUUCUGCCGAGGUCAGAGAAGGAGAUAAAAAUGGCCUAGGGGAGACUCUGCUGGAGUUGCAUGGAGUUCGGGAGCCUAAGAGGAGUCUGAAAAUAACUGUCAAAAAGUUUGAAGGAUGGAGUCUCAGAUUGGAGUGCAAUGGCGCAAUCUCGGCUUACUGCAACCGCUGCUUCCCGGGUUCAAGCGAUUCUCCUGCCUCAGCCUCCUGAAUAGCUAGGACUACAGGCGCCUGCCACCAUGCCCGGCUAAUUUUAGUAUUUUUAAUAGAGACAGGGUUUCACCAUUUUGGCCAGGCUGGUCUCGAACUCCUGACCUUGUGAUCCGCCUGCCUCGGCCUCCCAAAGUGCUGGGAUUACAGGAGAGGACACAAAAACACAUCAGUUUGCAAAGCAGAAGAAGGUCUUCACCAGAAACCAACCAUGCUGGCACCCUGAUCUUGGACUUCUAGCCUCCAGAACUGUGAGAAAUAAAUAUGAAGUUUCACUUUUGUUGCCUAGUGCUGGAGUGCAAUGGCAUGAUCUCAGUUGACUGAAACCUCUGCCUCCCAGGUACAAGCAAUUCUCCUGUCUCAGCCUCCCAAAGAGCUAAGAUUACAGGUUUCUUUUACUGCCUGAACGUUCAUUGAGGUUGCAGUAGAGUGUGUGUGUCUAUAGAAGGGGAAUGUUUGAACCUGGGGACUGUGUCAAUACAAGACAAAAUGAAGUACGACAAAAAAAAAAAAAAAAAGACAGCCUACCUUCAAGUUCAUCCAUCUCAGAAAAAGUGCUGGGCAGCAAUGCCAAAUUUUUAUCAACUGUCCAAUUGCUUCAGCCAUGAUGCAUGAACAGCAAACUCCUAAGUGCUGCAGGCCUACUUUUAAUUCCCAAGUCUUCCCAGAAAGCAGCAGACACAGCAAUACAACCAGAUUCAGAACUCAAAUCUGUGCUGCUCUAACAGGCUUGAAGAUGCCUUGGCCCUUGCCUCAGCAGCUAAGGAUAUAACGUGCAUGGGAUGUACAACUACAAGAUGGUGGAAGCUCCAUCAGUCAGGAUACCUGAGUAACUAUAUGGAUCAGAGCCCCUGCUCCCAAUACGACCCAGAAUUGGAUAUGUAAGAUGAACAAGAAAUACAUCAAGAAAUAAACACCUAUUUCAUCUCGCUCUGUUACCAGGCUGGAGUGCAGUGGCACAAUCUCGGCUUAAUGCAGUCUCCACCUCCUGAGUUAAGGUGAUUCUCUUGCCUCAGCCUCCUGAAUAGCUGGGAUUACAGGUAUGUACCGCCACAUCCAGCUAAUUUUUGUAUUUUUAGUAGCGACAGGGUUUCACCAUGUUGGGUCAGGCUGGUCUCAAACUCCUGACCUCAGGUGAUCCACCCACCUCAGCCUCACAAAGUGCUGGGAUUACAGGCAUGAGCUAUGAUGCCCGGCCACGUGGCAUCUACUAAACCAGUCAGGAAUCAGUAGAUCAUCAGCAAACAGGUAGUGUCUACCUUUGGGGAUGUUGGCUGAGUUCAUUUUAAGUCUUUGAAAACUAUUCUUGGUUUCUCUAGGAAGGAACCAUAAAAUGUAAGACAUACUGGCACAAAUACUGCCACUUAGUAAGUUGCAAAAAGGUUUGGCUGUUAAUAGCUCGCAGAAUUCCUGUUUGCCUUACUUUUCCAGAAGUAAUGAAAAAAUUGAUAUGCUUUACAGUGAGUAAGUACAGUAAGGGGUUCAUAUGAUGUUAAAAGGAAUGCCUUUCUAUAUGACAAACACAUACCAGCUUAAAGGGUUUCCUAUUGAUCACAAAACAUCAGAAGGCCUUAGUCUGCACUUAUAAGAAUGAGAUCAGUACAGGACUCUAUUAAAUGCUUGAUUUGGAUGAGUUGGUAGCUCAGCAUUCCAUCAGUCAACCAUUAAAAUGAACUGCCAGUGACGAAUGCCACGAGAGUUAAGUACAGAGCUAGAACUGCGCCAUCAUCAACUCCUGUUAAAGAAAAUCAUAACUAAGGAAUUAAAUCUGGGGCAAAUUGCCCAAAGUAUUCACAAGUAUAACAUCUACCAUAGAAUCAUUUUUGGGAGAGAUAACUUGACAUUUUUUUUGUCUUCUGGCUUUUGUCAAGACUAUAUCUAAAACUGCUGCACACCAAUGAAUUUGUCCUAUUGUAAAAAAUCAUUUAGAGAAUGAUUUUCUGGCAUCCAUUUAAAUGAUUAAUCACUCAUACUUUAAGAAACUUCUUUCUUAUAGUUAUUUCUAAAACUUGAGGCUGGGUGUAGUGGCUCAUGCCUGUAAUCCCAACUCUGGGAGGCUGAGGGGGGCGGCAGAUUGCUUGAGCUCAGAAGUUCAAGACCAGCCCGGGCAAUAUACCAAAACGCUGUCUCUACUAAAACUACAAAAAAUAGCUGGGUGUGGUGGUACAUGCCUGUAAUCCCAGCUACUUGGGAUGCUGUGGCAUAAGAAUCGUUUGAACCAAGGAGGCAGAGGUUGCACUGAGCCGAGAUUGUGCCACUGCCCUCCAGCCUGGGCCACAGAACGAGACUCUGUCUAAAAACAAAAACAAAAAC